CUUUCCCUCUGGCGGCAUGCUUUACACAUGCAAGUCGAACGGCAGCGCGGGCUUCGGCCUGGCGGCGAGUGGCGAACGGGUGAGUAAUGCAUCGGAACGUGCCCAGUAGUGGGGGAUAGCCCGGCGAAAGCCGGAUUAAUACCGCAUACGACCUGAGGGUGAAAGCGGGGGACCGAAAGGCCUCGCGCUAUUGGAGCGGCCGAUGUCGGAUUAGCUAGUUGGUGGGGUAAAGGCUUACCAAGGCGACGAUCCGUAGCUGGUCUGAGAGGACGACCAGCCACACUGGGACUGAGACACGGCCCAGACUCCUACGGGAGGCAGCAGUGGGGAAUUUUGGACAAUGGGGGCAACCCUGAUCCAGCCAUGCCGCGUGCGGGAAGAAGGCCUUCGGGUUGUAAACCGCUUUUGUUCGGGAAGAAAUCCUCUGGGCUAAUACCCCGGGGGGAUGACGGUACCGGAAGAAUAAGCACCGGCUAACUACGUG
rnacentral:rRNA from 1 species